CCUACGGGCGGCAGCAGUAGGGAAUAUUGCUCAAUGGGGGAAACCCUGAAGCAGCGACGCCGCGUGGAGGAUGAAGGUUUUCGGAUUGUAAACUCCUUUUGUUAGAGAAGAUAAUUACGGUAUCUAACGAAUAAGCACCGGCUAACUCCGUGCCAGCAGCCGCGGUAAUACGAUGGGUGCAAGCGUUACGCGGAAUCAAUGGGCGUAAAGAGAGCGUAGGCGGGAUAGCAAGGCAGAUGUGAAAACCUUGGGCUUAAACCUAGACCUGCAUUUGAGACUGUUAUUCUAGAGUAUGGGAGAGGUAGGUGGAAUUCUAGGUGUAGGGGUAAAAUGCGUAGAGAUAAAGAGGAAUACUCAUUGCGAAGGCGACCUGCUGGAACAUAACUGACGCUGAUGCGCGAAAGCGUGGGGAGCAAACAGGAUUAGAUACCCCAGUAGUC
rnacentral:rRNA from 1 species